rnacentral:rRNA from 1 species
AUGAGGGGACAUUCGGCUGAUGACUUUACUUACGACCCGUGGUACGAGCCUUACAUUCGGAGAUUGGGUCUUCACCCAUUCGUGUUGCAGUUUAAGCGACGCGCUCCGCCGGUGAACCACGCGGCACUGACCGCACUUGUGGAUCGUUGGAUGCCGGAGACUCACUCGUUCCACCUUCCAUUUAGGGAGAUGACGAUGACCCUUGAGGACAUGGCUAUGAUAAGCGGCCAUCCUAUCAACGGACAAGCU